rnacentral:lncRNA from 1 species
GCUUGAAAUCCUCUCUAUUCUAUUGGAUGUUGCUGGGAUGUUAUCGAAAGCCGGAAGAAACGUUAAGUCUAGGGGAGGAGGAGUUUGGUGAAGGUUAGGGAGUUUGGCUCCUCUCCUGCGGGUGAUGGUUAUCUGCACAGACCGUCCUGUUUUUUCUCCUUCUUUUCAAGGUUGGAAUGGCCUUGCUCACGCACUUGGUUCUGCUCUUGUCUCAACUAAGCAAGCUAAACAAAUUUCUGCUGCCUGAGCCUGUGGCGGGGGCAAGUCUGACACCGGAUGGCUUUUUAGCUCAAAAUGGAAUAACUUUGGCUCCUCAGGGGAGGGGUUUCUGUUACCCUCGGGCUCAAGGAAGCUGGAACUGAGACUCAACCCUCUUUCUCUUAGUCAACACCACAAGUGCCUGCUGCAUGUGUCAACACUGUGCUCAGCGAUGAAGGAAAGAGAAAGCAGAAGAAAAGAGUUAAGGGAGGAGGAAGUGAAGGAGGGCAGCUGACUGAGAGGCACCAAGGCACAAGAGCUGACUCUGCAAAUAUGGAAGAAAAAAGUGUUUUGUGAAACACGCCCUUCCACGGGUGAUGUGCAGUAUGACCUUAGACGAUAUCUGGGAAAUGUCUCCCUUGGAGAUGGACCAUCCCAACACCAGCAGCUGUCACUUGUUCUCCUUGGAAUCCAGAGUUGCAUAAGGAGCAAGAUCAGCACUUUAGGGGUCCUGGACCCAACCAGGACCAGACUUUCCUUUGCACCUCUUAGCAUGGUGACCACAGUGAACAGGACAGUGAUGGAGAACGGGGUGCAGCGGAGCCUAUUUGACCAGCAGUCUGGAGGACCGCAUUUCCUAGGAGCCCCAGUAGGUCUAAGCUGUUUAUUCCAUCUUUCUCACUUAGAUAAACGCAGCUGCCUGAGCUUCACACAUCGGAUCUAUUACCCUCUCAAGCAGGAAUGACACAGGCACAGAAACAAUAAAAUCUUUUUC